rnacentral:rRNA from 1 species
UACGGGGGGGGCAAGCGGUUGUUCGGAAUUACUGGGCGUAAAGGGCGCGUAGGCGGCCCAAUCAGUCGGGCGUGAAAGCUCUGGGCUUAACCCAGAAAUGUCGUUCGAUACUGUUGGGCUAGAGUGUGGAAGAGGCUACUGGAAUUCCGUGUGUAGCGGUGAAAUGCGCAGAUAUCGGGAGGAACACCAAUGGCGAAGGCAGCUCGCUGGGACGGUACUGACGCUGAGGCGCGAAAGCGUGGGGAGCAAACAGGG